rnacentral:rRNA from 1 species
GGUUUUUAGAAAGUGUUAAAAAUUAGACCUGCUCAAUGAAAGUUAAAUGGCCGCAGUAUUGUGACUGUGCAAAGGUAGCAUAAUAAUUUGUCUUUUAAUUUAGGACUGGAAUGAACGGUUAGACCGAGUGAUUUUGUCUUUGGGUUAUAUUUUGAAUUUUAUAUUUUAGUAAAAAAGCUAAAAUUUAUUUCAGGGACGAGAAGACCCUGUCAAACUUUACAAACGUACUCUUUCUUUCUUUAGGAAUAGUAAGUUUGUUUUACUGGGGCAGUAGAUAAUAAAAUUUUAUUUAAUAAUUAUGAGUUUUGUUCUUGUAAAACCAGGAAUUUCCUAAUAAAAAAUAAGUUACUGUAGGGAUAACAGCGUAAUUCUUUUUUAGAGUUCUUAUCGAUACGAGAGUUUGCGACCUCGAUGUUGGAUUAAAAUACCUUUUUCGCGCAAUAGGGAGAGAAGGAAGUCUGUUCGACUUUUAAAAUUUUCCA